rnacentral:tRNA from 1 species
AAGCAUCUCCCUUACACCGAGAAGACAUCCAUGCAAAUUGGAUCGCUCU